rnacentral:rRNA from 1 species
UUAAGCGACUAAGCGUACACGGUGGAUGCCCUGGCAGUCAGAGGCGAUGAAGGACGUGCUAAUCUGCGAUAAGCGCCGGUAAGGUGAUAUGAACCGUUAUAACCGGCGAUUUCCGAAUGGGGAAACCCAGUGUGAUUCGUCACACUAUCAUUAACUGAAUCCAUAGGUUAAUGAGGCGAACCGGGGGAACUGAAACAUCUAAGUACCCCGAGGAAAAGAAAUCAACCGAGAUUCCCCCAGUAGCGGCGAGCGAACGGGGAGGAGCCCAGAGCCUGAAUCAGCAUGUGUGUUAGUGGAAGCGUCUGGAAAGGCGCGCGAUACAGGGUGACAGCCCCGUACACAAAAGCGCACAUGCUGUGAGCUCGAUGAGUAGGGCGGGACACGUGGUAUCCUGUCUGAAUAUGGGGGGACCAUCCUCCAAGGCUAAAUACUCCUGACUGACCGAUAGUGAACCAGUACCGUGAGGGAAAGGCGAAAAGAACCCCGGCGAGGGGAGUGAAAAAGAACCUGAAACCGUGUACGUACAAGCAGUGGGAGCACAGGUUUACCUGUGUGACUGCGUACCUUUUGUAUAAUGGGUCAGCGACUUAUAUUCUGUAGCAAGGUUAACCGUAUAGGGGAGCCGCAGGGAAACCGAGUCUUAACCGGGCGUUAAGUUGCAGGGUAUAGACCCGAAACCCGGUGAUCUAGCCAUGGGCAGGUUGAAGGUUGGGUAACACUAACUGGAGGACCGAACCGACUAAUGUUGAAAAAUUAGCGGAUGACCUGUGGCUGGGGGUGAAAGGCCAAUCAAACCGGGAGAUAGCUGGUUCUCCCCGAAAGCUAUUUAGGUAGCGCCUCGUGAAUUCAUCUCCGGGGGUAGAGCACUGUUUCGGCUAGGGGGCCAUCCCGGCUUACCAACCCGAUGCAAACUGCGAAUACCGGAGAAUGUUAUCACGGGAGACACACGGCGGGUGCUAACGUCCGUCGUGAAGAGGGAAACAACCCAGACCGCCAGCUAAGGUCCCAAAGUCAUGGUUAAGUGGGAAACGAUGUGGGAAGGCCCAGACAGCCAGGAUGUUGGCUUAGAAGCAGCCAUCAUUUAAAGAAAGCGUAAUAGCUCACUGGUCGAGUCGGCCUGCGCGGAAGAUGUAACGGGGCUAAACCAUGCACCGAAGCUGCGGCAGCGACGCUGAUGCGUUGUUGGGUAGGGGAGCGUUCUGUAAGCCUGUGAAGGUGGCCUGUGAGGGUUGCUGGAGGUAUCAGAAGUGCGAAUGCUGACAUAAGUAACGAUAAAGCGGGUGAAAAGCCCGCUCGCCGGAAGACCAAGGGUUCCUGUCCAACGUUAAUCGGGGCAGGGUGAGUCGACCCCUAAGGCGAGGCCGAAAGGCGUAGUCGAUGGGAAACGGGUUAAUAUUCCCGUACUUGGUGUUACUGCGAAGGGGGGACGGAGAAGGCUAUGUUGGCCGGGCGACGGUUGUCCCGGUUUAAGCGUGUAGGUGUGUGUUCCAGGUAAAUCCGGUUCACUUUAACACUGAGGCGUGACGACGAGGCACUACGGUGCUGAAGCAACAAAUGCCCUGCUUCCAGGAAAAGCCUCUAAGCAUCAGGUAACAUCAAAUCGUACCCCAAACCGACACAGGUGGUCAGGUAGAGAAUACCAAGGCGCUUGAGAGAACUCGGGUGAAGGAACUAGGCAAAAUGGUGCCGUAACUUCGGGAGAAGGCACGCUGACACGUAGGUGAAGUGAUUUACUCAUGGAGCUGAAGUCAGUCGAAGAUACCAGCUGGCUGCAACUGUUUAUUAAAAACACAGCACUGUGCAAACACGAAAGUGGACGUAUACGGUGUGACGCCUGCCCGGUGCCGGAAGGUUAAUUGAUGGGGUCAGCGCAAGCGAAGCUCCUGAUCGAAGCCCCGGUAAACGGCGGCCGUAACUAUAACGGUCCUAAGGUAGCGAAAUUCCUUGUCGGGUAAGUUCCGACCUGCACGAAUGGCGUAAUGAUGGCCAGGCUGUCUCCACCCGAGACUCAGUGAAAUUGAACUCGCUGUGAAGAUGCAGUGUACCCGCGGCAAGACGGAAAGACCCCGUGAACCUUUACUAUAGCUUGACACUGAACAUUGAGCCUUGAUGUGUAGGAUAGGUGGGAGGCUUUGAAGUGUGGACGCCAGUCUGCAUGGAGCCGACCUUGAAAUACCACCCUUUAAUGUUUGAUGUUCUAACGUGGACCCGUAAUCCGGGUUGCGGACAGUGUCUGGUGGGUAGUUUGACUGGGGCGGUCUCCUCCUAAAGAGUAACGGAGGAGCACGAAGGUUGGCUAAUCCUGGUCGGACAUCAGGAGGUUAGUGCAAUGGCAUAAGCCAGCUUGACUGCGAGCGUGACGGCGCGAGCAGGUGCGAAAGCAGGUCAUAGUGAUCCGGUGGUUCUGAAUGGAAGGGCCAUCGCUCAACGGAUAAAAGGUACUCCGGGGAUAACAGGCUGAUACCGCCCAAGAGUUCAUAUCGACGGCGGUGUUUGGCACCUCGAUGUCGGCUCAUCACAUCCUGGGGCUGAAGUAGGUCCCAAGGGUAUGGCUGUUCGCCAUUUAAAGUGGUACGCGAGCUGGGUUUAGAACGUCGUGAGACAGUUCGGUCCCUAUCUGCCGUGGGCGCUGGAGAACUGAGGGGGGCUGCUCCUAGUACGAGAGGACCGGAGUGGACGCAUCACUGGUGUUCGGGUUGUCAUGCCAAUGGCACUGCCCGGUAGCUAAAUGCGGAAGAGAUAAGUGCUGAAAGCAUCUAAGCACGAAACUUGCCCCGAGAUGAGUUCUCCCUGAGACUUAAAGUCUCCUGAAGGAACGUUGAAGACGACGACGUUGAUAGGCCGGGUGUGUAAGCGCAGCGAUGCGUUGAGCUAACCGGUACUAAUGAACCGUGAGGCUUAACCU